rnacentral:ribozyme from 15 species
CCAUUUUUUUGAUUAUUUUUUUUCACUUUUUCUUCGGAGUGCGAUCUGAGCGUCUGGAUAUAUACAGUGCGAUCUGACUGAGCAUUCGACGUAUCCCAUCGUAACGUCAUUGAGAAUUGUAAUUGCUAAUGAAGUAAAUCGAUUUAAAUAUCAUAUUUAUCUACAAGAAACGAAA